rnacentral:rRNA from 1 species
AUGGCGAGGGCGGUGGUGGUAGCCGUGCUGCUGGUCCAGUGCUGCAACGUGGUCCUCGCGGCGAGGCUGCUCGAGGGAGACCGCGGUUGGCUGCACGGCGGCGUUGGCACCGCCGGGGCGCUUAUCAUGCAGGUCCUGCCCGGCGGCUCUCCGGGUGCGGGAACACCCAACGGCUGCACCAACAACCCCAACCAUCCCCCCGGAGGGCCAUGCAACGGCGGCCGCUAA